rfam:Gossypium hirsutum cultivar TM-1 unplaced genomic scaffold scaffold5754.1, whole genome shotgun sequence
UGUUAAAAAUUUCAUCCAUUUGUACUGUUAAAAACUAGCGUGUUUGACGGAAUAACUAGAUAGUUGUAUGUCAAGUGCCAUGCGUACCUCAGACGUACAAUGACCAGUUUUCAACAGUAGAAAUGAAUAGAAUUUUUAAUA